rnacentral:lncRNA from 1 species
GAUGUUUCAUGGCAAUCUUUUUGAAAUAGUCCGUUUCCUAGGAGAAUACUGGGCAGCUGCUCAUCACAGGUGUAUGGGAAACUCACUGUAAUAAGCUGGGAGUGGGUAACAUGGCCUCCCUGGUCCGGGCAUAGCUGAAGUCCCUUAAGGAAAGGAGAAAACCCCAUGUUUAGCAUUACUGGAAAUUGAAGUUACUGCUUCAUUGGUAGCACAGCGACAUUUCAGGAUUCAUCCACGACUGGCCGGUCAACAAAGUAUUGUCUGUAUAUGGAACUGGAUCCUUUUAACUAGAAAUUUAUUGCAUGCAUCAAAGAAUGGUGAAUAACUGUAAAGUGCAUUACAUUUCAAAGUAAUGCUUACGUACACUGAAACCAGAUCUCCACCAGCGCAACUCCACUGAUGAUGAUGGUUGCUUCAGGUUUACAGCUGUGCAGGACCACACCAGACGUGGACUGCUGUAAUUCUGCAGUGUCCUGCAGCCACUAAGUGGGUAACCCCAAGCAAGAGCACCAACUGCCAGCAGUUCUCUCUGAGAAAGGAGGGUGCCCCCUCCCACUGCAAGCAACACAGACAAUCAUCUCAGCGUUAAUAAGGACCAUCGCUCAGCAGAGCUGCCCGCCGGUCCCCCCGUGAUGAACCCCCUGCC